rnacentral:lncRNA from 1 species
GGGCGCUGGUGUGGUGGGUUUAUGAGGCUCAGCCUCAGGCAAGCUUUCUGGUGGUGAGAGAGGAGCAUGAAGCUUGCAGCACUGUGGCUCUGCAGGUGUUGUGUGCUGUGCAGCAGCACGGUCACUUAUGCACAGUGCAAUGGGGACCUGGCUGCAGAUUUGCAGCUGGGUUCUGCUCAGGGUGUGUGGCUGCUCGGCCUCACUGCUGCUUUCCUGCACUGGAUGCGUGCACCUCCAGGAGUGUUGGUUCUUCUGCAUCUCAGGGAAGGAGACUCAUCCUCAUCUGCGCCCUUUUCAGCUGUGAAGGAAGUGUUGGUGCAGGGUCUCCAGGAGGGCCAUAGGUCCUAUGGGCCAACCUGGGCUCAUCCACGCAGAGCUCCUCCUGGCGCAGUGUGUCUGCCAUAUCCCAGUUUCUCACACUGGAUGGGCUGGGCUGCACCACGGGGAGGUGUUGGGAAGCACAGCGGCUGAAUGUGCCACUGCAGAGCCCACUCACAGCCAGGGCGCAUCCCCAGACUGCUCAUUUCUGGGCUCUCUUACCACCCAUGCAAGCACCUCCAUGAGGCCAGUGUGCCAAGCAGACUCCACCAUGCGGCAUUUCCCAGCAGAUCCCCCCAUGCUGCUUCUCCAGACUGCAUGUGCAGCUGCAAGCAGGAAUUCCCAGAGGAGCAGAAGAACUCUCCGGGCUCUGCUGUUAUCCUACAAGGCAUCAGCGUGGGGCCGGAUAAACCCAACGGAUCAAGGGCAGCUUGGCUGGUCAAUGGGAGGCAGCCAAGGCAAACAGCAGUGGCUCCCAGACCUCAACAGGAGCCCCUCGGUGGCUCACUACACUUCAUUUGCUCUUUUGCUUUUAGGAGAAGGGGUGAGGUGUGGGGCUGGGCAUGACAACAUGUGGGCUCUCGAGCGAACCCCCCCAGGGCCGAUGGAAACUGCGUACCGCUCAGCACGCUGCGCACGUCAUUAGGAAAAUGUUAGUUAAAAGGAAGGAUGCAAAUGGUCCCAGGCUGUGCUUCCUGAUCACUCCGCAGUGCCUCUGUGACAUCAUGUGCUUUUGUUACGGCUCCGAAACGCCUUCGAUGCUUUUUCGGGCACGUUCCCUCCCGCUCUGUCAGGGCUGGUUCACAUUAGGAUGUUUGCUCAGCAGCUACUGGGGUUUUGGCAGGACGGCUGCUGCCUUCUGCUUGCAGAGCACGAGGGGAUCGUGGGAUGCUGCUGGACGUGUCAAAGUGGA